CUUUAAAUAUAGUGCCCAGAGCAAGACUUUCAAAGAAGGUGACUGGUGAGAAUAAUUGGGGAGCUGUUCAUUGGAUUUAGAUCAGGUUUGUUUGAGGUGAUGCCAGUACUUCUACAUCUAUAGCUUCACCUGUAGGGUUGGCAGAUUCUUUUAUGGCUUAUAUCAGCCCAUUCCUUUUUUAUUGCAAAAAAGUACUAUAUCACUCAAGUUUCUGUAACAAAUAUUUUAUAAGCCAAAGUGAUUUCAUUAGACAUUUUAUAUUUAUAAGGCUUGUCAUAGAACUUCUCUGAAAGUCUAUCCCAUUGAUAAGAGACUAUAUAUCUUUAAAAAAAAUUUCACCCUAACUAGUUAUUUUUCCAACACUGACUUUUUAACGUGGUUACUGGGAUAUAAAUGUUCUCUGAAAUUCUCCUGGAUGUCUUGCUAAGAAGUUAGCAUCCAGCAUGACACUUUGAAUUAAUUCUCAAAGUACUUAUGCUAAUAAGAUUAUCUCCCCUCAAGGCUUUUCAUUAAGUAUAAUUGUAAAAAUUACAUUUCUUUAACUAAGGUCAGUAAAAGAAAUUAAAGUAUUUAAUUUCUGAUUCCCAUAUAAUUAAGUGAAGAAUGGAGGAGAAGAGUAUUCCAGCUGGAGCGAACAGUGUACAGGUACAGGUUGUCCCUGAGGUGAAAAGGGGAUCGUCUUUUUCAAGGAACAGGAAGAAAAGAGUACAGCGUGAGUGUAAUGAGUAAGAGAAAGAGGAACAUCAAACUAUCUAUAAAGUUUAGCAGGGGUUAGCCUACGUUUGCCUUUGAGGCCAAGGUAAGAAUUUUGGCUUUUAUUCUAAGUCCAAAGGGAAGCCAUUGAUGAGGCCUAUCCAUUGGGAGUUCUCUGUGAAGACAACUUUGAUUCAAAUUUAUCAUAAAACUGACUCAAGAAAUACACUGUAUUCUGAUUUAUCCAUUGAUUUCUUAGAUAUUUAUUAAGCCUAAGUAUUUAAGUCUACUCAACUAUUAAGAAAUCAACAAAAUGGCAUUUCUACACCUUUAAAGCUGUGGGAAUAUUUGACCAAUCUUGAGCCAUUGAAGAAUGUAUGAUGGUGUUCUCUGGAGGACAGUCAACUUUGACAGAACUAGCUCAAGAAUCUCUUGAGCUCUGUUUUACUGGCUCAUGCUACUCUCCAUAUUUCUGUUUCUUCAUUGUUAAUUUUUACUUUUCUCUGCUUCUCUGAAUUCAUCUUCCCAUUGUAUCCUCCCAACUUCUCUAUCUUUUCCCUGGAAUAAUUGGAACUUGAGAUCUCAUCUUAAGUGUGCAGGAUAACAUAAAGGAUAAGAAUAUGGGCUAUUCAAAUUCCAUCUCUCCUAUUCUUACCUGGAUGAUAUAAGUCCUACAGCCUCAGACUCCUCACCUGUAAAUAGGGGAUGUUAACAGUACCUACUUAUAGAAAUAAACAUGCAAGCAAGGGGAAAUAUUUAAUGCAUGGUCUGGAAUGUGGCACAUUCUCAAAGAUAUUAGUAAUAGAUCUUCGAUUCCCAUUUAAAUUUUUCAUUUAUAAAGUCACCUCAUAUUUUGAGCUCCUUCAGUUCAAGGAAUAGAUCAUUUAUUUUUCAAAUCUAUUAUAUCACCUUGCAUUCUGUUGCCACUCUGUAAAUAUUUGCUGUCUGCUUGAUACAGCUAGGAAAUGCCAUAAGAUUCAAAAAGAGGGAAAAAUAACCCCUGAAGGAUUGAUAAGAAAACCCUUCAAGUCAAUGGAUGGAUGCAACUCAAUCUUUGCAGACUUGGCAACAUUUGACUAGGAAAAGAAAAGGGAGGAAGGCAUUCUAAUUGACAGAACUGUCAGAAAACCUGUGAAACGAGAAUGUGUACAGCUUGUUAAGUGAUAAGCAAGUAUUCUAUACUGUUGAAAGUGGAGGAUUUGUGUGUGGAUGGAUUUGGAGAGGUAUGUUAGCAUGGAACUAAUGAGCACCUUGAUCAACUAGCUACUAAGUAUGAGAUUUUUCCUGCAGGCUUGGGGGAACCAUUGACAAUUUUGACAUAAAAGAGACAUGAGGAAAGUAGUGUUUCAUCAAGGUUGAUCUGGUGAUGCUAUGCAGAUUUAUUUGGGAAACAAGUUUUGUGGCUACUGUGUUCCCUAAAUUAGGGCAGCAGUCAUGGAAACAGAAGAGCUGAGCCAAGAGAAACCUGGCAGACUUGGCAGUUGAAUCUAAAGUAAAAGAAAACAAUAAACACUUUGAAGUUGAAAUUAUUAUGAGGAUGAAUUGGACCUAGCUUUCCUAUGUAUAUAUGUGAAUACACUACAGUGAAUCUCACCAUUGUGUACAUCCACAAGACUGCGAUCCUAAUUAGAAUAAGAUGUACUCCAUGUUUGUAUAAAUAUGUCAAAAUAUACUCUACUGUUAUUUAUAACAAAAAGAACAAAUUUUAAAAGGUAAAAAAGAAAAAAAAUUAUCAUGAGGCACAAAAAAGCAGAUCACGUCACCUCUUUGCCUUAAUAGUUCUACAUUUAAGGCAGAAUUUAAUAAAAUAUAAUCUCUUAGCUUCACAGGGAUGAGAAGAACUUAAGCAAGAUUCUUGGUAUGUAAUAUGAAUAUGAUAACAGAUGCAAGAUCACUUAUCCCCUUAUCUAGCCCAAAGGAAAGCAGUUCAUAGAUGUUUGUUCAUUUUUAAACCGUUAGAAAUAGAGCCUUAUAGACAAAUCAAAGCAGUUUGAUAAGGCAAGAAUAGCUAAGGGAAAGGAUAAAAGAAGAUACUGGACAUAUUUUUUGUCUUUAAAUUUGAUUUACAGAUGAAUAGAUCAAACGAAGAUAUUUCCUGCCCUUGGGUAUGAUAGAAUACAGGAAGGAAGUUACUAGUUAUCAUUGUUGGUGGCUUCCCAGUCUUUCUUCUUUCAUCAGUAAAAACCUAAAUUAAUAGGAGAACUUUAUGUAUGCAAACAUCCUUGUUUCUCUUACCCAACAAAAUCUAAAAUCUUUCAUAAUUAGAUUAUUAAUCCUUUAAAUGCCAUUGGGAAGAAGUUAUACACAUUUAAGUAAGUGGACAGUUAUUCUUAGUAAAAUACAUAAUCCACUCCUUAGUAAUAAAUACAUAAUCAGACCACUUCUAUGGUCCCCAAAGUGGUGAUUUCCCUCCUGAUACCACUUCAAUUUUGGCCAUAGACCCAACUUUCAAUUUCCAGGAAUCACUUCUAGUGGCUUUUCUGAGGGCCUUUGUAAUUAUAAAACUUUUCUUUUGUUAUUUCUAUAAGCUCUCUUCCAAAUAACUAAGAAUACCUUAAUAUAUAGACAAUAAAAUGAAUCCACAUCACAACCUUAUGUUAUCUGGCAGGAUAAAAUUAUUCAAAGCUAAGAGGUGACUUAUCUUUGUACUGACUGAUAGUAGCUCAAUGAGUCAUAUUAAAAAGUGGAGAAUCUGCAUUUUCCUAAUAUUAAGGAUAUUGAAUUUUUUUCAUAUACUUGUUGGCCAUUUAUAUUUCUUCUAUUGAGAAAUGUCUAUUUAAUUCAUUUGCCCACUUAUUUAUUGGGCUAUUUAUUUUUCUGAUGUGUUUUUAACACUUUAUACAUUCUGCAUAUUAAUCUAUUGUUAGAAGAGUAGCUGGCAAAGAUUUUGUUUCAUUUCAGUGUUAUAUAGAAUAGAGGAAGGAUAUUGAGAAGGAGGGAGAAGGAGAGGACAUGGGGGAGAAAUCUACCAAAUUAUGCUAUGUGUAUAUGGUAUCUGCACAAAUAAAUAACACACUGAAUACAGCUUUUAUAUAUAAUGAUAACGCACUAACUAAAAUAAUAAUGAUAAAAACAGGAGGUGGAUUACUUGAGUAGAGCAAUCAGAUAAGGAGAGAGAGGAGGGGAGAAAAAGGGAAUGAGAUGAAUCAAAUUAUGUUAUAUGCAUGUACACAUAUGGCAUAAUGAUUCCAGAUAUUAUAUAAAAUUAUAAUGUACCAAUUAAAAAUGAGGAAUUCCCACCAAAACAGCUAAAUUUUAAAUGGAUUUCAAUUCCUAGUGUGUAUGAGGACAAUAUAUGGAAUUAUUUAAACUCUUACACCUUGUUGAUGGAAAUGUAAACUGGAACAACCAUGUUGCAAAACUCUUUGGCAGUCUUUAGUCAAGCUAAACAUAUGUAUGUCCUCUGACUAACUUCACUUGAUUUGGUUGAUGGUUACCUGAGUGUAUGUAAAAUUUUAUUGAGCUAUUUCCUUGGAAGUAUGUAAAUGUAAUACCAAUUAAAAUUAUUUUUUAAAACUAUAAAUGUGGCUGGGUGUGUUAGUGCACAUCUAGCAGCUUGGGAGGCUCAGGCAAG
rnacentral:lncRNA from 1 species